CGGUAGCAUCCGUGGGCCGGUCCUGUGAGUUAAUAGGGAAUCCAGUGAAAAUCUGGAGCUGACGCGCAGCGGUAAGGAAAGGUGAGAUGAGAGCGUAAGCAGACACUGCCUCCGGCGGGAAGUCAUCAUUUCUGCUAUCCAGCCAACGGAUAACCCUCCAAGCCCGAAGACCUGCCGGCUAACGUCGCAUCUGG
rnacentral:ncRNA from 1 species